rnacentral:rRNA from 1 species
ACGAACGCUGGUGGCGUGCUUCACCCCUGCAAGUCGAACGGAAAGGCCCUGCUUUUGUGGGGUGCUCGAGUGGCGAACGGGUGAGUAACACGUGAGUAACCUGCCCUUGACUUUGGGAUAACUUCAGGAAACUGGGGCUAAUACCGGAUAGGAGCUCCUGCUGCAUGGUGGGGGUUGGAAAGUUUCGGCGGUUGGGGAUGGACUCGCGGCUUAUCAGCUUGUUGGUGGGGUAGUGGCUUACCAAGGCUUUGACGGGUAGCCGGCCUGAGAGGGUGACCGGCCACAUUGGGACUGAGAUACGGCCCAGACUCCUACGGGAGGCAGCAGUGGGGAAUAUUGCACAAUGGGCGGAAGCCUGAUGCAGCAACGCCGCGUGCGGGAUGACGGCCUUCGGGUUGUAAACCGCUUUCGCCUGUGACGAAGCGUGAGUGACGGUAAUGGGUAAAGAAGCACCGGCUAACUACGUG